rnacentral:rRNA from 1 species
GACGAACGCUGGCGGUGUGCUUAACACAUGCAAGUCGAACGGUAAGGCCCUUUCGGGGGUACACGAGUGGCGAACGGGUGAGUAACACGUGAGUAACCUGCCCUCAUCUCUGGGAUAACAGUCGGAAACGGUUGCUAAUACUGGAUAUGAGCUUGCAAGGCAUCUUGUGGGUUGGAAAGAUUUUUUUGGUUGGGGAUGGACUCGCGGCCUAUCAGCUUGUUGGUGAGGUAGUGGCUCACCAAGGCUUCGACGGGUAGCCGGCCUGAGAGGGCGACCGGCCACAUUGGGACUGAGAGACGGCCCAAACUCCUACGGGAGGCAGCAGGGGGGAAUAUUGCACAAUGGACGGAAGUCGGAUGCAGCAACGCCGCGGGCGGGAGGACGGCCUUCGGGUUGGAAACCGCUUUCAAUUGUGACGAAGCUUUUUGUGACGGUAGCAGUAGAAGAAGCACCGGCUAACUACGUG